CUGCUGCCUCCCGUAGGAGUUUGGGCCGUGUCUCAGUCCCAAUGUGGCCGGCCACCCUCUCAGGUCGGCUACUGAUCGUCGCCUUGGUGGGCCGUUACCCCGCCAACCAGCUAAUCAGACGCGGAUCCAUCUCAUACCGCCGGAGCUUUUCACCCGGAAGCAUGCGCUCCCGUGUGCUUAUGCGGUAUUAGCAGUCAUUUCUAACUGUUAUCCCCCUGUAUGAGGCAGGUUAUCCACGCGUUACUCACCGUCCCG
rnacentral:rRNA from 1 species